AGAGGCUGUAUGCGAGAGGAAUGGAAAUGAGCCUCAGGCCCUGCCGAAGGAGCCCCAUCCCCUUCCCCGCGCGGGGCUGAGGAAUGCUGGCCAGCCGGAAAGGAACCCUCGCUGGGAACGCCGCUCUCGCGCCUCUGAAACCCCAUUGAGAAGAACCCUUUGAUGCAAUUAAAGCGCAUUUCAUUGCAGGCCUGGGAGGAGGGAACGACCGGCAAGCUUUUUUCUGUCUCGGACGUGUGUAUGCACCUUUGUGGGCCGGGUUACUUAGAGACCAGGCGGGAACUUGAGCUCCCUCUCUCGCAGACGUUCUGUAACAUCAGAAAAGCGUACCCAUAAACAGAUUGGUUUUCACCAGGGGUGGAACUCAAUUUGGACACGAUCCAGGCUGACCUGCAGGCCGGGGUUCCUACUUUGAAAGGCUCUUUGGUGCGCCUUACACCCACCUUCCCUGCUGUAAAGGUUUAGGCGGAAAAGAAAUUGCGUUUGCAGGAGGAAGUUGUUUCUGAGGUUACUGCUCAGCAUUUUCCAUUUUCUCAGUGGUGGGGUGGGCCGUGUCGCAUAUCCAGAAGUGAUGUCACAGCCAGACCUGCAAAAUGAUGUAACCUGCAAGUGUUGAAGGACGACGAUGGGACAGCUAUUUUGAUACUCGUAUUAUUUUAUAACAUUUCCCUGCUUUUUCCAUUGAGACAACUGUGUGACCUCAGAAAAUCCACAUAGCCUCUCUGAACUUAGUAUUUUUGUGUGUGUGUUAAAAUGAGUAUCACAAAGCCGGAGAACGAAUGUGAUGAAGUUCUGGGUGCUUGUGGAAUUCUUUCUAAGUUGGAGGUGGACACUUUAUCUACCUGCACAGGUGGAAGAUAUGUGGGUCUGGAACUCCGGUAAACAAAAAGAUCCUAUUGGGACCUCUA
rnacentral:lncRNA from 1 species